rnacentral:rRNA from 1 species
AUUGAACGCUGGCGGCAUGCCUUACACAUGCAAGUCGAACGGCAGCACGGGGGGUAACCCCUGGUGGCGAGUGGCGAACGGGUGAGUAAUAUAUCGGAACGUGUCCUGUAGCGGGGGAUAACCUAUCGAAAGAUGGACUAAUACCGCAUACGACCUACGGGUGAAAGCGGAGGACCGCAAGGCUUCGCACUAUAGGAGCGGCCGAUAUCGGAUUAGCUAGUUGGCGGGGUAACGGCCCACCAAGGCGACGAUCCGUGGCUGGCCGGAGAGGGCGGUCGGCAAGACUGGGACUGAGGCACGGCCGAGACUCCUAUGGGAGGCAGCAGUGGGGAAUAUAGAGCAAUGGGCGCAAGCCUGAUGCAGAGACGCCGCGUGAGGGAUGGAGGCCUUCGGGUUGUGAACCUCUUGCGCCAGUGAAGCAGGCCUGCCUCGUUUGUGGGUGGGUUGACGGUAGCUGGAGAAGAAGCGCCGGCUAACUACGUG